rnacentral:tRNA from 2 species
GGAGUUGUAGCUUAGUGGUAGAACACUUGCCUCACAAGCAUGAGGCACUGAGUUGGAUCCUCAGCACCA